rnacentral:tRNA from 1 species
AGUUAAUGAACUUGUUAUAAGUAUAUGUUUUGAAAACAUAAUAAAGAAUUAAAUUUUCUAUUAACUU